rnacentral:rRNA from 1 species
UGGGGAAUCUUGCGCAAUGGGCGAAAGCCUGACGCAGCCAUGCCGCGUGAAUGAUGAAGGUCUUAGGAUUGUAAAAUUCUUUCACCGGGGACGAUAAUGACGGUACCCGGAGAAGAAGCCCCGGCUAACUUCGUGCCAGCAGCCGCGGUAAUACGAAGGGGGCUAGCGUUGCUCGGAAUUACUGGGCGUAAAGGGCGCGUAGGCGGAUCGUUAAGUCAGAGGUGAAAUCCCAGGGCUCAACCCUGGAACUGCCUUUGAUACUGGCGAUCUUGAGUAUGAGAGAGGUAUGUGGAACUCCGAGUGUAGAUGUGAAAUUCGUAGAUAUUCGGAAGAACACCAGUGGCGAAGGCGACAUACUGGCUCAUUACUGACGCUGAGGCGCGAAAGCGUGGGGAGCAAACAGG